rnacentral:rRNA from 1 species
UACGUAGGGUGCAAGCGUUGUCCGGAAUUAUUGGGCGUAAAGAGCUCGUAGGCGGUCUGUCGCGUCUGCUGUGAAAACUCAGGGCUUAACCCUGAGCUUGCAGUGGGUACGGGCAGACUAGAGUGCGGUAGGGGAGACUGGAAUUCCUGGUGUAGCGGUGAAAUGCGCAGAUAUCAGGAGGAACACCGGUGGCGAAGGCGGGUCUCUGGGCCGUAACUGACGCUGAGACGCGAAAGCGCGGGGAGCAAACAGG